UCAGGAGAGAGAAGGCAGCUAAUUCUUACUCUUCUCCACAGUCAUGUGGCACUUUGUUUACCCUCAACUAUUAGGACAAGCAUCAAAAGCAAAGGCCGCACCUGUCGCUGGGGCCCGGCUCAUUUAUGCAGUCGCCUGGAGCGCCAGGUUCAUGCCGUGGACUGUCCCAGGCAGCAAAGACACCAACGGCUCCACUCGGCGUCUCCGAGAUGGUAAACUGAGAGGUGUAAGCCUGCCCGACGUGGCCGCUGUCAAUAGCCAGUGAAUGGAGGGCCGCAGACCAGAACUGAGAGGUGCCUAUGUUUCUAGAUUCUUCCAAAACUGC